CUCUAUGACGUAGGGACAAAGCUCUCUCAUUCGUCGCGGAUGGUCGAGUCACUCUACUCGUUUGCGUCAUAGUUCUGUGUGAUUGGCUGAGACUACUUGAGGCCUUUUCCUAGUCCCCGCCCUCGGGGAGCAGUUAGUUUAGAUUAAGCGAGAGGUCGUGGUGGAAAAGCCCCAGCCGGAAGGAAUUUGUGGCAGGGGAGGAGUGAAAGGCGGGGCGCAUGCGUACAUGGGGCCAAGGGGCUCCUGCGCCUCUUCCUUCACUAACGACGCCCGGGUCCUGAUGGGAAACUUUAGAUGACGUCAAUCUUUGUUCCUGUGGUAACCAGGAACCUGGGGGUGGGGACGCAGGUUGUGCUGGCAAACUGAUCCGUUGGCGCGGCAGCACUUGGGAGGCUGAGGCAGACAGAUUGCUGUGAGUUCGAGGCCAUCCUGAACUAUAUAGCGAGACCCUGUCUCAAAACAAAAACAAUGUCUGACGCUGGGCGUGGUGGCACAAGUCUGAUCCUAGCACUUGGAAGGCUGAGGCUGGAAGAGCAGGAGUUUGAGACCUACCCGGCCAAUUUAGGAAAACCCUGUCUCACUAAAAGGGGAUAGGGAAGUAACAGCGCUCUUUGGCUUGGCUUCCCAACUCUGGUGGCGGAAGAGACAGUGUCUGAACUGAGGGAACACCGUACAAAAUUAGAUGAAGAAAGCAUAAAUGGUGCACCAAUGAGACGUAAAAAGAAGAAAGCUGGCAAGCCUGUAAUCUCAGCACUCCAGAGGCUGAGGCAGGAGGUCUCAAGUUCCAGGCCAGCCUGGGCCACAUAGUCAAUUCAAGGCCAGCCUGAACUACAAAACAAGCUCUUGUCUCCAAAAAAAAAAAAAAAAAGGACAGGUAAAGGACCAAUAUUUAGUACUUACCUAGCAUCCAGUAAGCCUUAGGUUCCAACCCCAGCAUCACAAAACAAACAUACAAAAAAGCCAAUAUUUAUAACACAAGUCUUUUUUAAAAAAUUUUUUCUGUGAACAUUUUUGUAGUACCUAUUUGCAGUACAUGAUGAUUAUUUUCGUCGUGGAGUUGGUGCUCAUACAUCCUCUGCCAGAAAUUUUUUUGUUUUUGAGAUGGUCUCGUUAUGUAGUCUAGGCUGGCCUCAAACUCGAGGCAAUCCUCCUGCUUCAGUUUCCUGAGUACUGGGAUUACAGGCAUGCGCCACCAUACCAGAAGUCUUAAACGCUAAUUAGAAAAAGGUCUGUAAUCACAGCACCUCUGGAAGGCUUAGGCAGAAGGAUCCCAAGUUUGAACCUAGUCUGGGCAGUUUAGUAAC
rnacentral:lncRNA from 1 species